ACUCGCCUGCAUGAAGCCGGAAUCGCUAGUAAACGCGCGUCAGCCAUAGUGCGUUGAAUACGUUCUCGGGUUUUGUACACACCGCCCGUCACGCCAAGAGAGUCGAUAAUACCCGAAGGCGCUUGAAGCGUCCGAAGGUAGGAUCGAUGAUAGGGGCGAAGUCGUAACAAGGCAGCCGUAGCGGAAGCUGUGGCUGGAUCACCUCCUUUCUAGGGAGUAA
rnacentral:rRNA from 1 species